rnacentral:tRNA from 1 species
AGCAGUGUGGCGCAGUUCGGUGAGCGCGCUUGGUUCAUACCCAAGAGGACGUCGGUUCAAAUCCGACCACUGCCA